AUUGAACGCUGGCGGCAUGCCUUACACAUGCCAGUCGAACGGUAACGGGCCUUCGGGUGCCGACGAGUGGCGAACGGGUGAGUAAUACAUCGGAACGUGCCCGAUCGUGGGGGAUAACGAGGCGAAAGCUUUGCUAAUACCGCAUACGAUCUACGGAUGAAAGCCGGGGACCGCAAGGCCUUGCGCGGACGGAGCGGCCGAUGGCAGAUUAGGUAGUUGGUGGGAUAAAAGCUUACCAAGCCGACGAUCUGUAGCUGGUCUGAGAGGAUGAUCAGCCACACUGGGACUGAGACACGGCCCAGACUCCUACGGGAGGCAGCAGUGGGGAAUUUUGGACAAUGGGCGCAAGCCUGAUCCAGCCAUGCCGCGUGCAGGAUGAAGGCCUUCGGGUUGUAAACUGCUUUUGUACGGAACGAAAAGCCUUCUUUUAAUACAGGAGGGUCAUGACGGUACCGUAAGAAUAAGCACCGGCUAACUACGUG
rnacentral:rRNA from 1 species